GUAGCCUAAGACGGUUUUUUUCCAAAAAAUAGAAAAAUAAUCAAUCACAAGGGGAACCACGUCCUCAAUCACACGGGAACCACACCAGGAACCUUGUCCUCACCGUCGAAAGAAAUAAAAAAAUCGAUGUCUUGGGUUACCUGUGCGUUGGACACAGGUAGCCCAAGACAAGGCACAGUAGCCCAAGACGUUUUUUUUCAAAAGAAAUAGAAAAAUAAUCAAUCACAAGGGGAACCACGUCCUCAAUCACACGGGAACCACACCAGGAACCUUGUCCUCACCGUCGAAAGAAAUAAAAAAAUCGAUGUCUUGGGUUACCUGUGCGUUGGACACAGGUAGCCCAAGACAAGGCACAGUAGCCCAAGACGUUUUUUUUUUCAAAAGAAAUAGAAAAAUAAUCAAUCACAAG